rnacentral:rRNA from 1 species
GACGAACGCUGGCGGCGUGCUUAACACAUGCAAGUCGAACGGAAAGGCCCUGCUUUUGUGGGGUGCUCGAGUGGCGAACGGGUGAGUAACACGUGAGUAACCUGCCCUUGACUUUGGGAUAACUUCAGGAAACUGGGGCUAAUACCGGAUAGGAGCUCCUGCUGCAUGGUGGGGGUUGGAAAGUUUCGGCGGUUGGGGAUGGACUUGCGGCUUAUCAGCUUGUUGGUGGGGUAGUGGCUUACCAAGGCUUUGACGGGUAGCCGGCCUGAGAGGGUGACCGGCCACAUUGGGACUGAGAUACAGCCCAGACUCCUACGGGAGGCAGCAGUGGGGAAUAUUGCACAAUGGGCGGAAGCCUGAUGCAGCAACGCCGCGUGCGGGAUGACGGCCUUCGGGUUGUAAACCGCUUUCGCCUGUGACGAAGCGUGAGUGACGGUAAUGGGUAAAGAAGCACCGGCUAACUACGUG